rnacentral:rRNA from 1 species
GUGAACGCUGGCGGUAGGCCUAACCCCUGCAAGUCGAACGGCAGCACAGUAAGCGCUUGCUCUUACGGGUGGCGAGUGGCGGACGGGUGAGGAAUACAUCGGAAUCUACUUUUUCGUGGGGGAUAACGUAGGGAAACUUACGCUAAUACCGCAUACGACCUACGGGUGAAAGCAGGGGAUCUUCGGACCUUGCGCGAUUGAAUGAGCCGAUGUCGGAUUAGCUAGUUGGCGGGGUAAAGGCCCACCAAGGCGACGAUCCGUAGCUGGUCUGAGAGGAUGAUCAGCCACACUGGAACUGAGACACGGUCCAGACUCCUACGGGAGGCAGCAGUGGGGAAUAUUGGACAAUGGGCGCAAGCCUGAUCCAGCCAUACCGCGUGGGUGAAGAAGGCCUUCGGGUUGUAAAGCCCUUUUGUUGGGAAAGAAAAGCAGCAGGUUAAUACCCCGCUGUUCUGACGGUACCUAAAGAAUAAGCACCGGCUAACUUCGUG